GACGAACGCUGGCGGCGUGCUUAACACAUGCAAGUCGAACGGUGAGGCCAGGGCUUUCUCUCGUGGAUCAGUGGCGAACGGGUGAGUAACACGUGAGUAACCUGCCCAUCACUCUGGGAUAACCUCUGGAAACGGUGUCUAAUACUGGAUACGACCAACUGCUGCAUGGUGUGUGUUGGAAAGUUUCGGCGGUUGGGGAUGGACUCGCGGCCUAUCAGCUUGUUGGUGGGGUAGUGGCUUACCAAGGCCUUGACGGGUAGCCGGCCUGAGAGGGUGACCGGCCACACUGGGACUGAGAUACGGCCCAGACUCCUACGGGAGGCAGCAGUGGGGAAUAUUGCACAAUGGGCGGAAGCCUGAUGCAGCGACGCCGCGUGCGGGAUGACGGCCUUCGGGUUGUAAACCGCUUUCGGCUGGGAAGAAGCGAAAGUGACGGUAACGGCAGAAGAAGCGCCGGCUAACUACGUG
rnacentral:rRNA from 1 species